rnacentral:rRNA from 1 species
CUACGUGCCAGCAGCCGCGGUAAUACGUAGGUCCCGAGCGUUGUCCGGAUUUAUUGGGCGUAAAGCGAGCGCAGGCGGUUAGAUAAGUCUGAAGUUAAAGGCUGUGGCUUAACCAUAGUACGCUUUGGAAACUGUUUAACUUGAGUGCAAGAGGGGAGAGUGGAAUUCCAUGUGUAGCGGUGAAAUGCGUAGAUAUAUGGAGGAACACCGGUGGCGAAAGCGGCUCUCUGGCUUGUAACUGACGCUGAGGCUCGAAAGCGUGGGGAGCAAACAGGAUUAGAUACUCUGGUAGUCCACGCCGUAAACGAUGAGUGCUAGGUGUUAGACCCUUUCCGGGGUUUAGUGCCGUAGCUAACGCAUUAAGCACUCCGCCUGGGGAGUACGACCGCAAGGUUGAAACUCAAAGGAAUUGACGGGGGCCCGCACAAGCGGUGGAGCAUGUGGUUUAAUUCGAAGCAACGCGAAGAACCUUACCAGGUCUUGACAUCCCUCUGACCGCUCUAGAGAUAG